rnacentral:rRNA from 1 species
AUGCCGCACCAAACGGCCGCUCGUCGGCUUCUCUCAGAUCUCAUCAACUCGAGGAGAGGGGACGGAGGGAGCAAGGGAGCGUACCAUGCGAGCGGUCGAGCAGGGGAUCGAGCGGGGAGGCCCUGGCGAUCUGGCCAGGCAGGGGCGCGGUCAACUCUCGAUGAGGCAGAAGAUCACCAACGCUCGAUGCGUCUUGGCAAGGGCGAUGCUUGA